rnacentral:rRNA from 1 species
CGCGGCAAGACGGAAAGACCCCGUGAACCUUUACUAUAGCUUGACACUGAACAUUGAGCCUUGAUGUGUAGGAUAGGUGGGAGGCUUAGAAGUGUGGACGCCAGUCUGCAUGGAGCCGAACUUGAAAUACCACCCUUUAAUGUUUGAUGUUCUAACGUUGACCCGUGAUCCGGGUUGCGGACAGUGUCUGGUGGGUAGUUUGACUGGGGCGGUCUCCUCCUAAAGAGUAACGGAGGAGCACGAAGGUUGGCUAAUCCUGGUCGGACAUCAGGAGGUUAGUGCAAUGGCAUAAGCCAGCUUGACUGCGAGCGUGACGGCGCGAGCAGGUGCGAAAGCAGGUCAUAGUGAUCCGGUGGUUCUGAAUGGAAGGGCCAUCGCUCAACGGAUAAAAGGUACUCCGGGGAUAACAGGCUGAUACCGCCCAAGAGUUCAUAUCGACGGCGGUGUUUGGCACCUCGAUGUCGGCUCAUCACAUCCUGGGGCUGAAGUAGGUCCCAAGGGUAUGGCUGUUCGCCAUUUAAAGUGGUACGCGAGCUGGGUUUAGAACGUCGUGAGACAGUUCGGUCCCUA